rnacentral:rRNA from 1 species
ACACCUACGGGUGGCAGCAGUGGGGAAUAUUGCGCAAUGGGCGGAAGCCUGACGCAGCGACGCCGCGUGGGGGAUGACGGCCUUCGGGUUGUAAACCUCUUUCGGCCUUGACGAAGCUCUUCGGGGUGACGGUAGGGGUAGAAGAAGCACCGGCCAACUACGUGCCAGCAGCCGCGGUAAUACGUAGGGUGCGAGCGUUGUCCGGAAUUAUUGGGCGUAAAGAGCUCGUAGGCGGUCUGUCGCGUCGGUCGUGAAAACUUGGGGCUUAACCCUGAGCUUGCGGUCGAUACGGGCAUGACUGGAGUUCGGCAGGGGAGACUGGAAUUCCUGGUGUAGCGGUGAAAUGCGCAGAUAUCAGGAGGAACACCGGUGGCGAAGGCGGGUCUCUGGGCCGAUACUGACGCUGAGGAGCGAAAGCGUGGGGAGCGAACAGGAUUAGAUACCCUGGUAGUCCACGCCGUAAACGGUGGGCGCUAGGUGUGGGGGCCAUUCCACGGUCUCUGUGCCGCAGCUAACGCAUUAAGCGCCCCGCCUGGGGAGUACGGCCGCAAGGCUAAAACUCAAAGGAAUUGACGGGGGCCCGCACAAGCGGCGGAGCAUGUGGAUUAAUUCGAUGCAACGCGAAGAACCUUACCUGGGUUUGACAUGCACCAGACGCA